AUUGAUUGAUUGAUUGAUUGAUUGAUUAAAUUUAUGUGCUGCCCAUCUCCUCAAUAAAACGUUUCUGGGCAGAAAUCAUGAUAUCCAUUCUGUGCCUUUUAAUGUUAAAUGCCUGCCCCCCUGAAAUAUUCUAUUUGUUUCAGGUCUGUUGUGGACGCUACAUUAAUCAACAUAUGCUGGAUCACAAUAAGGAAUCUGGGCAUCCGCUGGUGCUUAGCUUUCAAGAUCUCUCUGCCUGGUGCUAUGACUGCCAAGCCUAUAUCCAUCACCCAGUCCUUCUUGAAGCCAAGUGCCAGGCUCACCAGCUGAAGUUUGGCGAGGACAUGCACCUGCCUUCCUAAGGUGACUUUGUCUGGAGGGAAGGCCUAAGAUUGAAUGCAGCACAAUCAACCAUCGUUUGAUCUCACUGAAGUGAAUCUCAGGCUCCUUAAAAGGGCUCUUAUGUGCCAAAAAUAGCCAGCGACCAUCAAUUGCAAUACCACCAGCAGCCAUAAAUCAACCACCAGCACCCUCACUGCUUCCACUAGGACAAAAAAAAAGUCCUCUUCUGGUCCAAGCCAUGAAGAGGAAUAAUCAAAUGUUAGCGCACUAAGGAUAUCUUUGCUUCCACUCAGAAGUACUUUGCUUUCUUCAAUGCUGAAGAGAUACCGUGCCAAUUCUUUUUUAUUAAAGUUGCAAGGGACUCACUGUUCCAGUGUCUGAUUGUGCAAGACUGCAUUUCCUCUCCAUAUUACUGUAUAUUCCUCUAAAUCAUUUCUCUCCUCUGUGUUACAGUGAUUUCUUGCUCAGUUGGGAAAAGGCCUGUGUUGAUUUUAAAAUAAUCUGCAAAGCAUUGGAGUGAAUGAGAGAAAGUUUUCCUCUGAGGCUAGAGUAGGAUGUGAUGAGUGAACAGGCAAGAUGUUGGUAUGCCUUUGUUAAGGACCUGCAUUGUAAUUUUAAGGCCAGGUUCACACGAUGUAUAUGCACGUACGAGUAAAAGAGAGAAAGGGAAACGUCACUUUCCAGAGGAAGCUGGUUAUCCUGAGGCACGACAGCCAAACCUCUGGUUAUGAUGAGUCAUAACACUUCUAGAAUCGCAUUAUUUGAACCACUGUGGCAACGCUUGCAUUUAUGUGCAGGUUGUUUUCUGCAGAUAAAAAUAAGAACGGCCUGUGGCAAAAGAGAAUGUGAGAAUUGGGCUUUGAUAGCUUUAACGGAAAUAAUUUGGUGUAGUUGGCUUCUUAAGCAAGAAGCAAGGUGGCCUUCCUUAAGGCCAUUGGCAAAUGACUGGGGAAAGAUUGGGUUGGAUUUCCUGGCCGCUUUCCAGGUGGCAGGGCUGUGGGGGUGGGCUGUACAAGAGGAAAGCCUUCAAGCUUCUCUACUGUCAAGCUAAAUAGUGAUCAGGAGGGAGAGGGGAUUAUUUGAGAACUGGUAACCACACCUAGCCUUUAAAAAAAGAACAGCCAGCGUGGUGGUGCUGUUCGGGUGUUUUGGUUUAUAGCUUCUUUUGUCCAUAAUUGAUUAUUAAGGAAUAAUUAUAAAGGAUUAUUAUGUUAUUAUGUCCAAAGCAUCUUGAGAGGACCAAUUUGCUUCCUGUUCCGAAAACUGAUGGAAAAAAGGGGUAUUUGUUGAAAAAGGUUAGUGUGGGAGGGUGGCAAGAAAAAAGAUGAGUGGGAAGGGGUGUCACUGUGUGUUUGAAAAAAGAGCACCCAUUUCCACAUGAAAGUGCAUCAUUUUUCCAGGGCCGGCCCUGGUGGUUUGGGGGAGGGAACAGGGUAUUAUGGGGUUGAUAUUGAAACUUGGAAACGUUAAGUUGGAUUGUAAGCUUUCACUGCAAAAAAAAAUAUGUUUGGAUGUUCUUCUACUUGAUUUGUACUCUUUCUAAUUCAAAUAAAGUGCAUUUCUGCCUGCAA